rnacentral:rRNA from 1 species
AUUGAACGCUGGCGGCAGGCCUAACACAUGCAAGUCGAGCGGAUGAAGGGAGCUUGCUCCUGGAUUCAGCGGCGGACGGGUGAGUAAUGCCUAGGAAUCUGCCUGGUAGUGGGGGAUAACGUCCGGAAACGGGCGCUAAUACCGCAUACGUCCUGAUGGAGAAAGUGGGGGAUCUUCGGACCUCACGCUAUCAGAUGAGCCUAGGUCGCAUUAGCUAGUUGGUGGGGUAAAGGCCUACCAAGGCGACGAUCCGUAACUGGUCUGAGAGGAUGAUCAGUCACACUGGAACUGAGACACGGUCCAGACUCCUACGGGAGGCAGCAGUGGGGAAUAUUGGACAAUGGGCGAAAGCUUGAUCCAGCCAUGCCGCGUGUGUGAAGAAGGUCUUCGGAUUGUAAAGCACUUUAAGUUGGGAGGAAGGGCAGUAAGUUAAUACCUUGCUGUUUUGACGUUACCAACAGAAUAAGCACCGGCUAACUUCGUG